AGGACGAACGCUGGCGGCGUGCUUAACACAUGCAAGUCACGGGGGCCCGCAAGGGCAACCGGCGAACGGGUGCGUAACACGUGAGCAAUCUGCCGAUCUCUGGGGGAUAGCCAGCCUAACGGCUGGGUAAUACCGCAUACGCUCGUUGGGGGGAGUCCCCUGAUGAGGAAACCUCCGGGGGAGAUCGAGGAGCUCGCGACCUAUCAGCUAGUUGGCGGGGUAACGGCCCACCAAGGCAGCGACGGGUAGCUGGUCUGAGAGGAUGGCCAGCCACAUUGGGACUGCGACACGGCCCAGACUCCUACGGGAGGCAGCAGUGGGGAAUAUUGCGCAAUGGACGAAAGUCUGACGCAGCGACGCCGCGUGUGGGAUGAAGCCUUUCGGGGUGUAAACCACUGUUGCCCGGGACGAAACUCCUCUUUCGAGAGGAUUGACGGUACCGGGUGAGGAAGCACCGGCUAACUCGUGUGCCAGCAGCCGC
rnacentral:rRNA from 1 species